rnacentral:pre_miRNA from 1 species
UGGACAGAUUAUUGUAUUCGACUGUAUUCACGACGUGAAAUAGGGGAUUACACUGUUUUUAAAACGAAAGUGAAUCAAUUAACAUAAUAGACUCCU